GUGUGCUCCAAGACGGCGGAAGGACACAGUAGGCUCAGUAAAGGUCCCUUUGAAAGAGCGGAGGAAUACGCUACCAAUAGAUUCUUACCUUAGUGUUUUAACUCCACAGGCCGAAGUGAGGUAUAGCAAGCCAUCCCGUUCGCCUCUGCAGUCUGUAUACCUCUCUCGGCGGCGGAGGAACAUCAUGGAGGACGUUCCAUGCAAGAUUCGAUGCGGAGGGAUACAUAUAUAAAUAAGAGCUGUUAGUAUAGUUUGAGAAUCCAAAAGAAAUCCGUUUUUUAAAAAUCAAUCCGCUUCUACAUCCAGCCCUUUAAAUAAACUGAAGUCGCCGCGGUGGAGGGACUGUUAGGCUACUUUGAGUUGGGUGGUUGGUAUUGGCCGCGUACGCCUCAGUUAUUGUAAGCUCCCACAAGUUGUAACCAGUCAAACCCAACUCAGCUGGCUAACCAUGGCAUCCACCAAGGCGCCAUAAAGCUCCUAUUUUUGCUGCUUUUAGGGGAGAGGUGUUUUUUAAAAAAAAUUAAUAAGGGGCAUUUCAAGCACUUAGAUUAGCCACACAAAGAACAUGGCUGAUAAGGGCUACUACACGCCGCAACCUUGCUUGGGCGAGGCAAAGUUCUGGCGACGCUUUAAUGCUUCUACGAAUUCUCUUUUCCUCAGACUCAAGGAUAGUGUUCUGCUUCAUGGGUGUUUUUUCCUUCCUUUAAAUUGAUCGAGAAAAGAGGUGAAGCACGCUAGAAAAGUGUCACCUUUGUAAGCAAAACAUCUGUUUAAGUCCUGCUUCUGGUGAGAAAACGAUGCUCACCAAUUUGGGUGUCAAGAGUGCCGUGCUUUCCGUGAAGGGGAAGGCCCUUGACAGUGUCCUGCCAGCUCAAAAUAUGCUAUUUGGUGCCACUAAACGUCAUUAAAGUCCUUCAAUGUGCCCUGAGAAUGACACUUAUCUUCAGUCUUGGGCUUGGCGUGUGUUGAUUCGAAUAAGAAGUUCAACAUUCUUUAACCAUUAAUCAAAUUUACGUAUGAAAAGCGGAGGGCAGCUAAUGUUUCUGUCUCCUUUCACUUCCACACCUAUGAAUAUCUAGUUGUGUGCACCUCCCCUUUCUUGUUUUGCAAACUUUACAGACAUUCUGAGCUGCUGCAGGUGCUUAAUUCUAAUAAAAGUCUUUUGUUUGCCUUUGCAAACUAACAUCUGAAGAAGCAAUGCACCCCACAGAAAGAAAGAAAACAUAUUGCAACUUUUCUAAACGCAUCUGCACCAAAGAUCAUCCUUGCUGCCUCCUUGCUAAACUCAGAGCCAGCAGCAUCUCCCUCCUUCACUUUUUCAGUUAUUGUAAUCUAAGAAAAAUUGGAGUUGCUAUAAUGUUUUUCACUACUUAAUAUUAACAUGGAAAUCAAGCCAGAUAAAGGGUGGGGAGCUUGACAAAAAUUAAGAAGGUAUAGGAAGAGUUAAGUUCCCCCUCCCCCCAAAAAUGUUCCCAAGGUCAUUACUACUAUAGAGCAAUUUUAGAAAUCUCUUGGUCCCCCAGGUUUAAACAUUUUAAAAACUGGUUUUAUGACAACUGUUUCUUUCAGUAAAAUCCUAGCAAAAGGUUGCCAGCUUUUUACUGGCUUUGCUUCUGUGCCUUUAAACAGCAGGCACAGUAUGAUGUAUGAUGAAAUGUGUUGGGUAAAGCUUUUCCCUGCAAGACAGAAUUAUAUGGAGAAAGCAUUAUUUGAAACAUUUAAAGGUACAAAAGCAGGGCCAGAAAAAAGUUAGCAACCCUAGGUCAAAACACUGAAUGGUAUCUGAAGGUCAUGUGAUUCAGCGUUACCAUUUUGAGUUGCUGCAUCUUGUCCACCCAGAAUGUAAAUAGACACCAACCUAAUCAUCGCUAUUUUGUUUAUGACAGGCAGGCUGCCUAAACAGAUGUGCUUUAACAGUAGCAGUCAAUAUGGAUUCAGAAUUGUGUGUGUUUAAUGUCUUUAAAUGCAAUUUUAGCAUUGUAUUCCUGUGAAUUAGGAUGGAUUCCUGUUGCACACAUAGUGCAGCAGUCCUUGCAAUUGCUCUUGAUCAUAACUAUGCCACACAUGAGGCUCAUCAGCUCAGCCUGCCCAGAGCUUGUGUGAGAAGGGGCAUAAAUGCUUGUGAACAAUAAUGCCUGUAAAGCAGACUUUUCAAACUGUCUAGCUUCAGGGAUCCCUUUCCAUAUAAUCUUGUCUGCUAUCACUCUGUGGGUGUCAGGAGUCAAAAUCGAUUUGAUGGCACACUUUACCUUUAUCACUCCAGAGAGCUGGACCAAUAGGAAAUGCUGCACUAGCAACUGUUUUUGUGGUAUUGACAAGCCUUAUAGUAUGGCAAUCACAUACUUGCUGUGACUCUGCCUAUUCAAAAGCUAAGGCUCUAAGCCUACUGCACCUCAUUAGCACUCCCACCACUGUGUCUUUCAAGCUAUCACACCUCAAAGCCAAACAAGUGUUCUCUUCCUUUUGAGAUUUUUUCAUUUGGUCUUUGAUGCUCUCUCAUAAUGAGGUUGGAUCCUAGUGGGCAUCUGGCUAUAGAAAAUGGGAUCUUAGGGUUCCCCUCUUACUGCUGCUGAGCUGAGGACUCUGCAGAGGAAUCCCAUCUCUGCAGGGAGUUCAUUUGGCUCUCCAUCCUCUAUUGAGUCUGCCCACUCUGGGAGUUGGUUCUUUGGUGACAGGAACUUCCUAGUCUGCUGUUUCAGAGGCAAGGUCUCUCCCAUCCUUUGAGGCGUUGACAGAGGUCCUGCUGUCUCAAGAAUAGGAAAGACUAUUAUUAGAAAGACUAGGAACCAUUUUCCUUUGUGAUGAAAAAGUUUCUUUUCAUUGACAUGUGCACACAGAAACUAUGAAUAAAACUAAAGACUCUU